UAGGUUGACCUCGGAUCAGGUAGGGAUACCCGCUGAACUUAAGCAUAUCAAUAGCCGGGAGGAAAAAGGAUCAUUAAAAGAUUAAGUGUCGCGACCUAAAAAAUCGCGACACUUCAACCCUCUGUUGUUAUAACUACCUUGUUGCUUUGGCGGGACCGUUCGGUUCUCGAGCGCACAGUCUUCGGACAGGUGAGCGCCGCGGAGUCAACCAAACUCUGUGUUUUUACCAGUCGUCC
rnacentral:rRNA from 1 species